rnacentral:rRNA from 1 species
CUAAUACCGCAUACGAUCUAUGGAUGAAANCGGGGAUCGCAAGACCUCGCGCGAUUGGAGCGGCCGAUAUCAGAUUAGGUAGUUGGUGAGGUAAAGGCUCACCAAGCCGACGAUCUGUAGCUGGUCUGAGAGGACGACCAGCCACACUGGGACUGAGACACGGCCCAGACUCCUACGGGAGGCGGCAGUGGGGAAUUUUGGACAAUGGGCGCAAGCCUGAUCCAGCAAUGCCGCGUGCAGGAUGAAGGCCUUCGGGUUGUAAACUGCUUUGUACGGAACGAAACGGUGAGCUCUAAUACAGUUUGCUAAUGACGGUACCGUAAGAAUAAGCACCGGCUAACUACGUG